rnacentral:piRNA from 1 species
UCCAGAUUUGUAGCUUCUAUACUCUGAGGU